GACGAACGCUGGCGGCGUGCUUAACACAUGCAAGUCGAACGGAGUGGCGAACGGGUGAGUAACACGGGGGUGAUCUGCCUUGCACUUCGGGAUAAGCUUGGGAAACUGGGUCAAACAGCGGAUAGUGCAAGAUGUGUUCGCGGCCUAUGAGCUUGUUGGUGGGGUAAUGGCCUACCAAGGCGUCGACGGGUCGCCGGCCGGCGAGGGGGUACGGCGACAUGGGUACUGAGAGACGGACCAGAAGCGUACGGGAGGCAGCAGUGGAGAAUAUUGCACAAUGGGCGGAAGCCUGAUACAGCGACGCCGCGUGGGUAAUGAAGGCCUGCGGGUUGUAAACUCCUAUCGACAGGAACGCGGUACCUGUAUAAGAAGCACCGGCUAACUACGUGCCAGCAGCCGCGGUAAUAC
rnacentral:rRNA from 1 species